AUGAUAACAUGGUAAAUAUUAAUAAUAAAUAAUGACUGCAUCAUCAUGUAUCCUUGAAGUGGUGGACACACUAGCCGAAUGAUUCGGCCGAAUCAAUCGGCGUGGAAAUUCGCCUAGUGUGUCCACUGUCAUUCGGCCGAAUGAUUCGCCCAAAUCAAACAGGUUUGAUAUAUUCGGCCGAAUUAUAUUCGCCUGGUGUGUCCGCUUCGCCGAAGCAUUCGGCCGAAUGUAGAAUUCAUUAGCCAAUCACCACUCAUAUAGAGAAGUCACGUGAUAGUUUGAAGAAAUAGACGCCGCCAUGUUUAUUCAUGUGACGUGAAAGGUGAUGCAAUCGACUGGUGAAUCGGGCGAAGCAUUCGGCUAGUGUGUCCACCCAUUCGGCCGAAUAAAAUUGGACGGCGGUAACAAGUAUUUGGUCGGCGGUAAUUAUAUUACGGUCGAAAGUCAUUACAAUGCGGUCGGCGGUAAAAAGUAUUUGGUCGGCGGUAAUUUCACGGCGGUAAAAGUAUUGGUCGGCGGUAAAAAGUACCACCCCUUAAAUAACGUACCAAGAAUCUUGGUCCAAAGCUGUCUCUUAAGAUUGUGGGACAACUGGUUAUCAUGUCUAUGGGUGUGUUGUAUGCCAAGAAACAGAAUUUUACCAAGAUGACAGUGUUCCUCUCUACUGGUUCAAUUCCAGCUGUCAUGGGAUCUUAUAUUGUAAAGGGACACAAAUUUUAAAAUUCACAUAAAUAUCAAAACAGAUCUUUUUACUUGAAGUUGGCAGAUGGCCCGAAACAUAUUUUCACUGUUCAGCACAGGUACAUGUACAGUUCAAUUUUGUUUUCAUCUUUGUGCAUCGGUUAUGAUUUAAACAGGCAUUAUGUAAGAGCUAAAUCUGCCUAUUGCAGGUCUUUCUUUGUGCCUUAAAUGUUCUAUAAAUUAUUAGACAUUAACUAACUUAUCAAGACCAUAAUUAACUCUCGAUGCCAUCGUAUAGUCUAGAUUUUGAACAGAUUUAAAUCUGAUCUGUGGUUCAACGACAGUUGAAGAUUUACCGUAAAAGUGGAUAAUCGAGACUUUGGUUAUCGUAACAACGGUAGCAAUGACAAUCGAGGCUACGGUGUUAUAUUGUAAUGAGAAUAUCUUGACGCAGAGUGAACUAAUUUGACUGAAAUUUUAUACAUAUUUCCUUUACGUAACCUUUUUUUUAACUAUUAUAGUGAGAACUGCCAGCUCUUUAUCUAAUCUUCCAUAAUGCCCCUUUAAAGUUGCAAUUUCAUAUUUUUAAGUUAUAUU